UUUCAUCAGCUGCAGAAAGGAAACCUGAUCUUCUAUGAAUCAGACCUGACAGAGUGUGGCAUCGAUAUCGAAGCAGCCUCAGUGUACUCAGGAGUGUUCACACAGAUCUUUAAAGAGGAGAGUGGACUCUACCAGGACAAGAUGUACUGUUUCAUCCAUCUGAGUGUUCAGGAGUUUCUGGCUGCUCUUCAUGUCCAUCUGACCUUAAUCAACUCUGCAGUCAAUCUGCUGGAAGAACAACAAAUUACCUCCUUGACGUCGAAAUUAUUUGGAAAAAAACAAGCAUCAAAAACGGAAGUAGAAUCGGCAUACAUCUACCAGAGUGCUGUGGACAAGGCCUUACAGAGUCCAAAUGGACACCUGGACUUGUUCCUCCGCUUCUUCCUGGGAUUUUCACUGCAGACCAAUCAGACUCUCCUACGAGGUCUGCUGACACAGACAGGAAGUAGCUCACAGACUAAUCAGGAAACAGUCCAGUACAUCAAGAAGAAGCUCAGUCAAAAUCUGUCUGCAGAGAAAAGCAUCAAUCUGUUCCACUGUCUGAAUGAACUGAAUGAUCGUUCUCUAGUGGAGGAGAUCCAAAAAUCCCUCAGAUCAGGAUGCCUCCCGAUAGAUAAACUUUCUCCUGCUCAGUGGUCAGCUCUGGUCUUCAUCUUACUGUCAUCAGAAAAAGAUCUGGAUGUGUUUGACCUGAAGAAAUACUCCGCUUCAGAGGAGGCCCUUCUGAGGCUGCUGCCAGUGGUCAAAGCCUCCAACAAAGCUCUACUGAACAGCUGUAACCUCUCAGAGAGGGUGUGUGAAGAUCUGUUUUCAGUUCUCAGUUCCCAGUCCUGUAGUCUGAAAGAGCUGGACCUGAGUACCAACAGCCUCAGGGAUUAUGGAGUGAAGAAGCUUUUAGCUGUGGUGCAGAGUCCACACUGCAAACUGAAUAUUCUCACAUUGAGCAUCUGUAACCUCUCAGAGAGCAGCUGUGAAUCUCUGUCUUCAUUUCUCAGCUACAAGUGUUCUAGUCUGAGAGAGGUGAACCUGAGUAUAAGCAACCUGCAUGCUCCAGGACUGAAACUUCUUUCUUCUGGUCUGCAGAGUCGGAACUCUAACUUGAGUAAUUUGAGACUGAGUCACUCUAACUUGUCACAGAGAAGCUGUGGAGCACUGUCCUCAAUUCUCGGUUCCCAGCUCUCAAGUCUGAGAGAGCUGAACCUGAGUAACAAUGACCUGCAAGAUUCAGGAGUGGGGCUUCUGUCUCAUGGACUGGAGAGUCCAUAUUGCACACUGGAAACUCUCAGUCUAUCAGGCUGUCUGAUCACUGAAGAAGGCUGCACUUCUCUGGCCUCAGCUCUGAGGUGGAGCCUGCUGGAGUCCAGUGGUUGA